rnacentral:misc_RNA from 1 species
GAUGAAGAACGCAGCAAAAUGCGAUAAGUAAUGUGAAUUGCAGAAUUCAGUGAAUCAUCGAAUCUUUGAACGCACAUUGCGCCCGCCAGUAUUCUGGAGGGCAUGCCUGUUCGAGCGUCAUUUCAACCCUCAAGCACAGCUUGGUGUUGGGACUCGCGUUAAUUCGCGUUCCCCAAAUUGAUUGGCGGUCACGUCGAGCUUCCAUAGCGUAGUAGUAAAACCCUCGUUACUGGUAAUCGUCGCGGCCACGCCGUUAAACCCCAACUUCUGAAUGUUGACCUCGGAUCAGGUAGGAAUACCCGCUGAACUUAAGCAUAUCAAUAAGCGGAGGA